GACUGAAACUCAAAGGAAUUGACGGGGGCCCGCACAAGCGGUGGAGCAUGUGGUUUAAUUGGAAGCAACGCGAAGAACCUUACCAGGUCUUGACAUCUUCUGACAAUCCUAGAGAUAGGACGUCCCCUUCGGGGGCAGAGUGACAGGUGGUGCAUGGUUGUCGUCAGCUCGUGUCGUGAGAUGUUGGGUUAAGUCCCGCAACGAGCGCAACCCUUGAUUUUAGUUGCCAGCAUUCAGUUGGGCACUUUAAGGUGACUGCCGGUGACAAACCGGAGGAAGGUGGGGAGGACGUCAAAUCAUCAUGCCCCUUAUGACCUGGGCUACACACGUGCUACAAUGGACAGAACAAAGGGCAGGGAAACCGGGAGGUUAAGCCAAUCCCACAAAUCUGUUCUCAGUUCGGAUCGCAGUCUGCAACUCGACUGCGUGAAGCUGGAAUCGCUAGUAAUCGCGGAUCAGCAUGCCGCGGUGAAUACGUUCCCGGGCCUUGUACACACCGCCCGUCAC
rnacentral:rRNA from 1 species